CCUACGGGAGGCAGCAGUGGGGAAUUUUGGACAAUGGGCGAAAGCCUGAUCCAGCAAUGCCGCGUGAGUGAAGAAGGCCUUCGGGUUGUAAAGCUCUUUUGUCAGGGAAGAAACGGUGAGAGCUAAUAUCUUUUGCUAAUGACGGUACCUGAAGAAUAAGCACCGGCUAACUACGUGCCAGCAGCCGCGGUAAUACGUAGGGUGCAAGCGUUAAUCGGAAUUACUGGGCGUAAAGCGUGCGCAGGCGGUUUUGUAAGUCUGUCGUGAAAUCCCCGGGCUCAACCUGGGAAUUGCGAUGGAGACUGCAAGGCUAGAAUCUGGCAGAGGGGGGUAGAAUUCCACGUGUAGCAGUGAAAUGCGUAGAGAUGUGGAGGAACACCGAUGGCGAAGGCAGCCCCCUGGGUCAAGAUUGACGCUCAUGCACGAAAGCGUGGGGAGCAAACAGGAUUAGAUACCCUGGUAGUCCACGCCCUAAACGAUGUCUACUAGUUGUCGGGUUUUAAUUAACUUGGUAACGCAGCUAACGCGUGAAGUAGACCGCCUGGGGAGUACGGUCGCAAGGUUAAACUUAAAUUAGUAGUUAGUUACGGNGNGNGAGNGCGACGACGACGACGAGGAGGAGGAG
rnacentral:rRNA from 1 species